GGAAGAUUGCCAGAGUGGCUGAAUGGGCUCCCCUGCUAAGGGAGUGAACACUUCAUUGUGUUCCGAGGGUUCGAAUCCCUCAUCUUCCUCCA
rnacentral:tRNA from 1 species